rnacentral:lncRNA from 1 species
AAGUGUUGGCCCAUUUAGUCAGUCCAAAAACCUAUACAGCAACCCAUCGUUCCAAUAACCUUUUCACUCUAAGAUUUUCAAUUUAGCUCAGGCCAUUCCCAAAUAUCCUUGACCCGGAACACUCCAAAGCACAGAAACCCAACUGUUCCUUACUCUUCUUCACAUUAACAAAAUCUCCCAUAACGACAACAACGACCAACGACGAUCUAUCAAAAUACACGGAAAGCAGCAAAAGACAUAAGUCAGUCCUUUGUCGUCUUUGGCCUGUCCAUUCGCAGUAGCAAAAAGCAGAUAAAGAAGUUGUGAUUCCGUCCUUGUGUCUUUGAGAUGGAUCCACGUCUCUCCCCAUGGACAGUGAAUCCAUCCGAUCCAUCAAUUCGCCCUUUCCUCUUCCGGAAUGAGUCCGGGUUUUGGAUCCAAAUUUGCCCCACCUUUCAAAAGAAAUUGUGACAUAAUUCUUCCUCCAUAUGUAUAUCCUUUUCUCAUUUCUUUGUAAGGGACGACAGAUUAUGGUGGGAGAAAAAAUUAGUAAGAGAUAAAUUAUUAGUUCAUUUCGUUCUUAGAUCGAUAUCUCUGUCCAAACUUCCGAUUUGCUGUCUGUCUUUGAUACUUGGCAUGGUGGAGGCGUCGUCUUCUGUUCAUCAUACUGUUCGCUGCUCCAAAGAAGGUAUACUACAUCAUUUUGUUUAGUUCCCUUUCAUAUUCUAUUUAUAGUUUGUUGUUUUUGUAGAUGAUAGAUUUUUAUACCUUCUAUGCUUAUUUAAAUAUAAAUUCAUCACUGCUAAUAUAGUUGUAUUUUCUUGUGUUUGCUCGUUUUAGUGUAAGUUUCUAGUAAUAGUUAGAUUCUUUUGUUUUGAUGAUCUAAUCUUUUCUCAUUCAUGAAUGUGUAUGUAUAUGUGGAAGAGUUGGUCCCCUGAAUUUGUUGCUCUCACUUUUUUUAGUAUAGUUGUGAUUGAUUCCAAAAUGUCAUAUCGAUCCUAAUAUGUUUUGCUCAUUGUAAAAGCCGUAGUAAUGCUUUAUGUUAGACAUCAUGUUCUUCAUUCUUACACCUCGAGUUGGAUGAAUGAGUCUAAGACGUCAAGAUUUUGUUUUUUCUCUCGUGUCUAGUGCUUUCGUUCUACAUAUUUUGCUUUGGAUUAUUGAAUUGGACUUGGAGUUUUGGUUCUUGUUUUGUGUAUGUUCCCAUCCCAAAUUUUAUCUUCCUUUUGUCUUGUUUUAGCCGUUGGCUUCUACCAAUUUUCCCUCUAACUAACUUCCCUGUAUCUGCUUACUGUGUUUAAGUUUUCUAUUACACCUCUAUUUUUAGUUCAUGGGUUUGUUAAUUUUCAGUAAUGAAGCGUGGUUCUUGAGUCCUUGCAAUUUAUGUAAUUGUAUCAGUUGGUGUCUUCGAUUUAGUUGUUGAAGUUCUUUUGCGAGGUAGUAGAAGUUUUUCUUGGAAAAUAAAAAUGGUAUAUAUAUAUAUAUAUAUAUAUAUAUAUAUAUAUAUAUUUAUCUUAUAUGUAGCAUUUAUAGUUGUCACAUGCUUAGCUUCGAUUUGAUGCUCUUAUAAGUGGAGGGACAUUUUGGAGAGAGAGAGAGGGCCGAAAAUUGGCCUUUGAGUAAAGUCCUGCUACACCCGUGUUCGAACCUAGGUGGAAGCAAUGAUUUAAAUUAUUUUUAUUUAAAUUGGUAAAUUAACUUAAUUAAUUAAUAUUUAUUAUCCGAUUUAAUAAAAAGGAAAAUCAGAUUUUCUUUAAAGGGUUGAAUGAGUCCUAGUUUGACUAAGUCCUUACCUAAGCCUAACUAUCUUGCACGUUUCUCUCUCUCAGGUCAAUACCUCACUUUCACGAUCAUUAUCUCUUCUUUUUCACGUUUCUCUUCCAAGAAAAAAUAUUAAAGCAUAAAAUUACUAAAUUUCUUCACACUUGAAGAACUUACAUGAAAAUAUAAGAAAAACAAGCUAAUCAAAAACGUUAGGCAAAAGGGAGGAUUAUUCCAUCGAUUUGGUGCUGAAGUUGAGGGGAUUUAGACGUGAUUUUUGGACUAGGUUUUCAGAAGCAAGUAAAGUUUUGAACUACAUAAAAGGUAUGUGUUUUCUUACUCUUGGUAUCUUUCCCAAGAGACCCUUAGGACUCAAAUGAAUAUACUCCAAAAACUAGGGUUGUUCCCCUUUACAUGUUCCCUAUAUCUAGCUCCCGUCGAUUUGUAGGUUGGGUAUGUUUGCUGGUAGAAAUUAGAGAUGUAAUGUGUUUUCGUGUUGAUUAUGCUCAUGUAUGUAUGUUCGGAGUUAUGUGAAUUUAAGCAUGUUGUUCGAAAUUAUGUGUUUAUGUGUGUGCAAUGUGUAGACGUGACAUAUACUCUUAGUUUGAUGUUCGAAAAUGACAUGUUAUGGUUGUAUUCUUACAUGCACAAACUUGUAUAAAUCUUGAUGUUCAUAUGAAGUAUAAUGUGGCUGGUUUGAAUGGAAAUUAUUAGCUUAAUGAAUCCACGAAAAUGUACCUAAAGAUGUACUAAAUGAACCAUGAAUUACCCUAAAAACUAACAUGUAAACAUUCGUGAAAAUGAGCUGAAAAACGUACAAAAUUUCCAACAUCUUGUUGAUGAGUUUCAGCCAAGAUAAGUGAUGUAAAAAAAUGUUGAUUUGAGUGCAAACUAUUUAUAGAAUGUGAUCUUCAAAAUGCACCUAAAGAACUCGUUAAAAGCUACUACAAAAGUGUACACAUUUAACGUGAACGAGGUGAGAAAGUAGGCUGCAAAAAUUUGAUAAAAAUUCCAGCACUUUGAUGUUAGUUUUGGUCAAGCUAAGUCAAUUAACAUGUUAUAAAAAAUGAAGAAAAAUAAGUGAGGUCACUGAGGAUCGAACUCGUGACUUCAUCAUGUAAAAAUUCAAAACAAUAAUGUACGUUAAAGGAAUGUGGUAAGGGGGAUUUGAACCCGUGACUUUGACCGAAAAUGUAAUUCUAAAAAUAAGAAAUGAGAGGAGUGGGAUUCGAACCCACAACCUCUCAGCCAGACUUAAGGAAUUAAAAAGAAAAUAAAGGUGGAGGCGUGUGGGAAUCGAACCCACGGCCUCUAGGCUGAUUAAGGGAACUAAAGAAAAAAAAUAAAGUGAUGCCGUGGAGAUUCCAUCCCACAACCUCACGAUCAACUCGAAAAAGUCAAGGAAAAUAAACUAAAAGAAAUAAGGUUGUUGGGGAUCAAUCCCACAACAUAUCGAUCCCUAAUGAACGAAAAGGAAAAAGAAAUAAAAAAUAAGGAAAAGUAAAUGUUGGCACUGGGCUCGAUCUCGGGUCCCCUACCGAAGUGAGGUUAAGUAAAAAAUAAUUUAAAAGACAAGUGUUAACCAAGGGAUUCGAAACCAGGUUCUUUUGCCCAAAUUCCGUAUUGAUACAUAAGUCAUACGUGAAUAAAUGUUCAAAAAUAAUGUUGCCUACAUAGAUCAAAAUUGAGAUCUUCGCACACUUACAAGAUGCAUAAGUCUUGUACCACACAAUCUUAGGAAGAUAUGGAUCACUUAAAUGAACUAUGAGUGAAGCGUCACGACUUUUAUGUAUAGACCAUAAAUCUAGCAUACGUUUAAAGUAAGUGAACUUAAGAUGUAUGUAACGAAAUGAUACAACCCUAGAAGGGUCAAGUAAGAGUGUGAGACACACUAAAUGGCCUAGUGCAUUGGCAUAUGAUGAAAUGAACAUUCACGUAAAGAGGUGAGUAAUUAUGAAAAGCAAAUGUGCUAAAGUUAAUGAAUGAGGUGACAAAAUGAUAAGAGGCUAAUGUGAAAGAUGAGAGCAAUCUAAAAUAAGCCUAAGUAAAUGUUAACAAAACGUACUCACCUAUGAGAGUGUAAAGUUAAUAAAAAGACCAGUCUCUAUGAACACUCUAAUGAAAGUAUUGAAGUUAAUGCAUACUUUAUACUAAUGAUGAGAUGAUAAAUCAUCUAAUGAGCUAUGAUGUCCUCAUACUAAAAUCCAGCUUCCAUGAUGUAUGAGUUGAAUGUAAUAGAACUUUAUACUGAGCAGCGAUAGGCUAGCUAUGAGCAAUGAUGCCUUCCUUCAGAAAGGGCGGAGGUUCACGUAACUCUCAUGAGAUGAGAAUGUUAGGCAUGCCGGGUAUGGGUCUCUUUAUAUCUCCUAGUCUUUGAACCUAUACUACCAAUAUAGGGAUCUAGCUGGGUUCAAUCCCCUAUAUACGCUAGCAUUUUUGGGUUCACUUUGGCCGGUGAUUCCACCUCUUUUUGGUGUGGGGCAGACACUGGAAUUCAUAAUGCUCACAUGAUCUAUGUCGGUUAAAGUUAAAGUUCCCAAUCAAUGAAUGAGGCUACCCUCAAGUGAUGUACAUAAUGAAAUGAAUGAUACCAAAGGUGUUAGGAUAGGAUAAUCAAGAGGUGAUCUUGACUUAAGUAAUGACACUAGGUCAUUCUUGAUCAUUGCAAAGGGAAGAACCCGAUGAAAGUCUUAAACUACAUCCUAGGUAUAGCUGGUGUUUACACUAGCUUAUGAAUUUAUGAAGUGAAAUACAUAUGAAUGAAUGAAGAAGACUCUGUGUUUGAUAAAGAAGUCUCCCUAGUUUACGUCCCAUAUGUUGAGCCCUCAUUAUUGGGAAGUUUUGAUGUCAAGUCCAUGAUUCCAAAGGUUCAUGGCAUAUGCACGAAUUAUAUGAAAGAUGUUAUGUGUUAUAUGCAAUAUGAUAUGUGUUAUGUGUAAGAUGUUAUGUGUUGUGUGCAAUAUGAUACGUAUUAUGAUGCAUGUUACUCUCAUGGCAUGACUUUCCUAAUCCAAUUUGGCAAGUCCACUGACUUGACCUUCCACAAAUCAUGUUGUUAGGAAAGAGCUAUUCUUACUGAUGCAUGUCCUUGGUAUAUGCUUGCAUAUACCAAUACUUAGUACAAGUAUGUACUAAUCCCAUACAAUAUCUAAUUUUAGGUGCAGGCACUGGUGGACGCUAGAGCUUACGGUACAACAUUACAGUUAUCCAAACGUGGAGCUUAUAUCCGGACUUGGUAGGCCCUCAUGCUAUCGAGGAUGUCUACCGUUAUUAUCUAGCUUAGAUGUAGGCUUUAGCUAGUGGAGCAUGUUUCACUAGUGUUUCAUUUCCCAUUUCAUUUCAGACUUUUUAUUGGUGUCGUUUUGGCAAGGACACAUUUAAUGCAAUUAUGAACUGCUUCUUUCAUUUGAUUAUCACAAUAUUAGAUAGUUGAUUUGUGAACGCCUUUGAUGUAACUAUAAUAUGUUUCGCAUGAAAUAAGAAAAAAAAAGUUCAAAAUUUUCCCUAAAAUUAACCUAGAUGAAGUAAGUAUGACGUAUGUAUGCUUGCCUGCGACCUCUGAGAAGUCAACGACGUCGGAGUCAUCUGCGGUCUAUAUUUCGGUCGUGACCCCAGGAAGGUUUACAUGGAAAAUAUCCACAAACUCAUGCACUAUCAAAACAAAUUCAAUUAAAAGGAAUUGAACUAUCAUUUCUAAGAUGAGUCUAAAAGACUAAACUUCAGUUACUUACCAAGAUCUUAGCAUGAAUAAUAGAUAAUCCAAAUUGGGAAGGGAAUAUAGUCACCCUCCACACCAACGGAUCUAUCCUUGGCUUAGCAAAGGUCAAAGUCUUAGCAUUGCAAUUUAAGAUAGCAAAAUUUAGAGAAAACUAUGUCAUACCCAAAAUUUUAUCAAAGUCAACUAUUUCUAAAAUAAUCAAACUUGCAGAAGUGCACCCUAGAAGUUAGGGCACCCUUAAGUCGCCACACAACGGACUCGACCUCUCGGAGGUUGUAUAUAUAUGGACAAUAAAAUAAACUCCGCCAACAUAAGUGGACCGGACCACACGUGUUCGACAUUCCAGGUAACUCAGGAAGCUCAACAUAUAAAAAAGUUGAUACAACAUUAUAUUGCUUCUUUCAUGAAAGUUGAAGAUAAGAUUGAAAACGUUCGGAGACAUUGAGGAAAAAAAAGUAUUGGAGAAGUAGCUUGCUUGACUUCGGUUCUUUGGUGGAGGUAGGUUAUGGUUAUGCUAUUUGAUAGUAAACUCUUAAUAGUGACUGAUAUGCAUUGAAUGAUAUUGUGGAGUUUUCUAUGUACUUGAUUGUGUGAUUGUGUGGCUUGGUCAUGUAUUUUUUUUUGUGAUUGGUCUGCAAUCCCGAGACCGUGGAAUGUAUAAUCUUAAACUAUCUCUAUUGAAGUGAUGGCUUGAAUAAAGAAGGCUCAAUGAAAUAUUAUUAGCGAAUGGAAGAGUGGUGAUAUUAAAUGAUAAAUUAAUGAUAUUCUUGGAUUGGAGUGUCACGUUCCGACACGAUAUUUUUGGAUCGGAGUGUCACGUUCCGACACGAUAUUCUUGGAUCGGAGUGUCACGUUCCAACACAUUAUUCUUGGACCGGAGUGUCACGUUCCGACACACUAAUAUUAAAGGAAAAACAUGUUGAAUUAAUGGAAAGUACUUAAUCUCAAAGAACUCAACUCUCGAAAUGGUUUUGUUUGGAGGCAUGAGUCCUCAUGUGUGAUCUUGACAUCAUUGACUUAUUACGAGCUUACUUUAAUGUUGUUGACGCUUGUUCAUGUUGUUUGUUGUUUAUCACCUGUUAAGUGCUAUGGUUGAGUUCAUACUAUUUUUAUUGAAUAUUAGUUCCUAUUUUGAGUUGGCCGAUGAUAUCUACUUAGUACAUGUUGCCCCCGUACUGAGUCCUACUUGUGUUUUUCUUUGUUUUCCUUUUAUGAAAUGCAGUGAGUGUACCUAUGACUUCAGAUUUCUCUCAGCUCUAGCCAGCCUCCCGCAUAUCAAGUUCCAGGGUGAGCUAUUCAUUCAAGCUCGUGUUGGAUUCUUUCGGUCAUGACAUGAUGUCCUAUACUUUCGGACACAUACCAUUUUAUUCUUUUAUUUUGGUGUAUUUGAUAUUCUUAGACUUAGUAUUGGAGAUUGAUGUCCUUGAUGUGAUGACUUUCAGGUUUUAGGAAAUGAUAUUUAGUAACAUUUGAGUUUUCGCGUUAUGCUUGUAUUUUGUAAAUUAGGUUAAAUUGAUUUGUUCGCCCACUUAGGAGGUUAAAUGUGGGUGCCAGACCCAAAACGCGUCGUAACUAUAUAUAUAUAUACAUAUAUAUAUAUGUAUAUAUAUAUAUAUGUAUAUAUAUGUGUAUAUACAUAUAUAUGUAUAUAUAUGUGUAUAUACAUAUAUAUGUAUAUAUAUGUGUGUGUGUGUGUAUAUAUAUAUAUAUAUAUAUGAAAGUGC